ensembl:lncRNA
UAUCAAAGACCAGCAUGGCGGUGAUUUCCAGGGCCAUGGAGAAGUGGGAGGAAACCACAGAAGGCUGCGAGGUGAUGCCGAUAAUUGUCUCAUUUCAAGACUGAUGCCCACGGGCUUUUGUUGGUAUGUCUGCUCUCCCAGAGGAGUCCAGAUGUGAGGCACUGGAAGGGACUGGAGGGAUCUUAAUGGCUCCAAGUGUAUCUAUCUGAGACCAGAGAGGAAGAGAGUAUGCUUCUUUCCCACAUCAACGGGACCGAAAGGUUGAACUUCUUCAGCUCCUUUAGGACGGACAUCCUCUUGGCUAACAAUUACGCUGCUCCCACUUGAGACCCACAGCAUCGAUGAGGGAGUCCCACGGGGUUAAUAGGGGCGUUCACUUAAAAAAACAUUCAAAGAACCGUGUAGAUGCUGGCGCGCAAAAACAAAGGUGUUUUAAUUCUGCUAGAAGUGGAUAAAUAAAUGAUUUUGAAUUGUAGUCUUCUUCCAGCGUCUCUGUAGACCAGCAGUUAUUAUUUCUGACAGAAGAGAAUCCUUCAAUGAACUUAUUCACUUGGAUUACAUCUCAUGCUUGUAUGGUAGUUGAGUAGUGUGCUUGUUAUUUUUGGCCUUGUUUAAUCC